ACCACGCUAUCCCAGAAAGAUGGCUCUCGCUCGAGAAGAACAGAUGUGGAGCUGGGAGUGGAAACAGAAUAGCAGGGAAGAGGACUUGCAGAAGGCUGGUUGACCGCACUCUGGUGUCUGGGCCAGAGCCUGUCAGCAGCUUCAGGGAGUUUCCCAGGGAAGAGAGAGACAGGAGUGGAGGACUGAGAUGUUGCCUCAACUGUACUGAUUGAAGACUUCUCUCUCCCCACAUGCAUUUUUAAUUGGCCUCUCAGAAAGUGAGAUACCUACCUAAACCACACACUUGCAAGAUAUUUGAGGAACGAAAAAGGCAAGCAUACAGAGCUCCCUAAAGGUGACAUGAACCAUGGGAAACAUCCCGUGUGGGUGGUGGCAAUGUUUGGAGAUGAUGUCAAUUGAAUAUGAUUGACCAUUGAGAGCAGUUGUCAGCCAAAACCAAACCAAACUUGUGGCCCCAUUCCUUUAAUAACUAAAGUUGAACUCCAGGCCUCAGUCAACCUGAGCACAGAGUAGGGGCUCAAUUAAUUCUUGCCCAGCUGAAAUGGGUGUGCACGCGAGACAAAACACAAUAAAAUCCUUGGAGUUCAAUGCAGCAGCAUGGAAGGAUGGACGAUGGGAGAAGCCAACUCUAUGGCAGGAGCGCGGUGGUUAUGGCCCAGCCCCACACAGCCUGGGAUGGGCAUGACGGCAAUAAGUGGAUUUGCAGCUUUCGACUUCACACCUUUCGUCUAGCAUCGAAGAUGAAAGUCAAGCAGAAGGGGGUGGACAGAACCCAAAAUGUAAAAUAUCCAAACCAGCCCUACUUGGUUGAAAGCUAAUUGUUACAGUUAUUAUUUCCUGGGCAUUUUUCUGCGGUGAGACUGUAAGUACAAGGUCUUUUAUGAUGUUGGUUUGGGCCCCAAACAACAGACCGUGCGUGCCUGUGAUCGUUCCUAAAUCACAAGCAGCUGCCGUAAGGAAGCAAUUAAUGGGCUCUAACACUCGAGGAAAAAUCAAGAAAAAAAAAAUCAAACAUUACAAGAGUAAGACUGGUGUAGCUCCAUGGCGUCAAGGGCUUGUGUGACAGUGAGACUCGGGGCCAUUUUCUCUGGCUUGCUUUUCUCAAUCAGUACAUGGACAUGACUGUUCUUGUCAAUCAAACCCAAGAUCCCCCUCCUCCCAGGAUUGGUCUAUGCCUCUCAAUGCUUUAAGACUGUGCAAAUGCCCCUGAUUUUGAAGGUGACUCCCUGACCCCUGCACCCUCUUUUCAAAAGGUUAAAUAAAAUGGACUCCAUG